CAGGUAAUUUCUACUUUUUGCCAGCACUAUAAAUAACUGUAUGAUGGACAUCCAUAUCUACUACGCAUCCUUUCCUUAGAGUGGAGUGGGAAGAAAAAGAAAAGACAUAUUCAGUAUCUGCAUCCCUUUACCUCGCUGAAUUCCUGCAAUGGCCCACAAAGGUACAUGAAGAGGGGAAAAAACCCAACUUUGGCUUCUCCAGGUGGGUUCAAUUUGGAUAAUAUAUUUGCACAGAAGUGUAGACGGGAGCCUCCUCUGGGAGGCUGGCCAUUUUCACUGUGGAUUCCCAGGUAAUCCCCCCAGAGCAGGAUCUGGAUCAGUUGUCCUACUAAGUAUAAGGCACAUUGCCAAGGCAUGGCCUGGUCCCUUAGGCUGAGAGACAGAGAGUAGGGCCAGUUCAUGGCAGAAAGGGUCUGGCAUAUGUCCUGCCUUUUUUUGCUCUGUGGCCUUGGGCAGGUCUCUUUGCCUCUGUAGGCCUCACUGCCCUCACUUCUAGAGUAGGAGUGAUCAUUUUGCCUCUUGGCUGGUUGCAAGGCCCAGAAGCAGGUUGAGAAUGGUAGCGUGCUAUGCGAAUGUGAAGUGUCAGUUGCAGACUAUCUUGCUGGCCUCUUGAGAAGACUUGACAUAAGCAGGUGAGAAGUGCAGUGGGAAAAGUGAGAGCCCUCUGAUGCUCAAGGAGAACAGUGCUCCAGGGGCCCCUAGGGAGAAUAGUUAAGCAGCAGGAUGGAGAGAUUGAGAGGAGGUUGGAGGGCUGGGUGAGGCCUGAGGACUGAAGCCUCCGGGGGGCCAGAGGAAGGCAGCUGAGACUUUCAGGGACACAAAGGACUUUCUCCAUUUCUCCACCACACAGGGACCUGUCUCCCUGGGGCUGCUUUGCUUGAUUUGGUGUGCUGUUAACCUUUGCUCAGCCCCAGGCUGUGUUUAACUUGGGGCCAUGGGCAGGGGGAGAAGGUCACAACAAAUUUAGUGGGAGGCAUUUUAAGUACCUAAAGCAAUAAAUCCUCAUGUACCUCGAGCCUGCCCAGGCUUCCCCAAACCUGGGAAUUCAAUUUUGUGCAGCGCACACAGUUUGCCAAGCACGCUAAGUCAUCAGGAGAACAACUUGAUGUAUUGCUGUGGGGAAAAAAAUUGCCGUGUCCCUUUCUUCAUUCAAAUUAACACCUUUUCAUACUGGGCUGACAGGUGACUGAUCACCUGAGAAUACAUCCUGGCUUCAAGUGAUUUGAUAACUCUUCCUUCUCUGUUUCCCUGUCUUUAUUUUCAUGCCUUAAAAAGUCAGGAGAAAACAUUAUUAUUAUUAUUGCUAGAGAAUCACUACCUGAUUCAUAAGCCCUAAGCCCUGGGGCCUGGCAUAUGGUAGGCAUGAAUAAAUGAUGAACGAA
rnacentral:lncRNA from 1 species